GAUGAAGAACGCAGCGAAAUGCGAUAAGUAAUGUGAAUUGCAGAAUUCAGUGAAUCAUCGAAUCUUUGAACGCACAUUGCGCCCGCCAGUAUUCUGGCGGGCAUGCCUGUUCGAGCGUCAUUUCAACCCUCAAGCCCAGCUUGGUGUUGGGGAUCGGCACAGGCGCCCUCGGGCGCCCGCCGUCCCCUAAAUCUAGUGGCGGUCCCGCUGCAGCCUCCCCUGCGUAGUAGUUUUCUCCUCGCAAGGGCAGCUCGGUGGCGACCUCGCCGUAAAACCCCCAACUUCUGAAAGGUUGACCUCGAAUCAGGUAGGAAUACCCGCUGAACUUAAGCAUAUCAAUAAGCGGAGGA
rnacentral:misc_RNA from 1 species